rnacentral:lncRNA from 1 species
UCCAAGCCUCGACCAAAACUUACCUUGCACAAGUGAAAUGGUAACUAUGGAAGAGUUACUCAAGUGGAGAAGGAUCAGACCGUUGAAGGGAUAAGGGACGCGCAUUGCCAGGCUGGGACAGGCUGGAAAGCUAAAGCACCUUUAGUCCAAGAUGCCAUAAGCGUGUGGUGCUUGCUAGUGGUUGAUUUGAAUCCUUUACCUUGACUUCACAUGCUUUCUCC